UACGUAGGGUGCGAGCGUUGUCCGGAAUUAUUGGGCGUAAAGGGCUCGUAGGCGGUUUGUCACGUCGGGAGUGAAAACUCGGGGCUUAACUCCGAGCCUGCUUCCGAUACGGGCUGACUAGAGGUAUGCAGGGGAGAACGGAAUUCCUGGUGUAGCGGUGAAAUGCGCAGAUAUCAGGAGGAACACCGGUGGCGAAGGCGGCGACCUGGGUAGAUACUGACGCUGAGGUGCGAAAGCGUGGGGAGCAAACAGG
rnacentral:rRNA from 1 species